AGUGGGAUAGCUGGGUCAAUAGUGGUUCCAUUCCAUUUUCUAAGGAAUCUUCAUACUGCUUUCCAGAUUGAGUGCACCAAUUUGCAGUCCCACCAGCAAU
rnacentral:pre_miRNA from 1 species